rnacentral:rRNA from 1 species
GGGGAAUAUUGCACAAUGGGGGAAACCCUGAUGCAGCAACGCCGCGUGAAGGAUGAAGGCCCUUGGGUUGUAAACUUCUUUGAUCAGGGAAGAAAGAAAUGACGGUACCUGAAUAACAAGCCACGGCUAACUACGUGCCAGCAGCCGCGGUAAUACGUAGGUGGCAAGCGUUGUCCGGAUUUACUGGGUGUAAAGGGCGUGUAGGCGGGAUCACAAGUCGGAAGUGAAAUCCCCGGGCUUAACCCGGGAACUGCUUCUGAAACUGUGGUUCUUGAGUACUGGAGAGGAAAGCGGAAUUCCUAGUGUAGCGGUGAAAUGCGUAGAUAUUAGGAGGAACACCAGUGGCGAAGGCGGCUUUCUGGACAGAAACUGACGCUGAGGCGCGAAAGCGUGGGGAGCAAAC